rnacentral:lncRNA from 1 species
CAAAGGUAUUUACAACUACUGUCAAAAAGCUCAGUAACAUAGUCUUUUAGCUAGAUGAAGGUUUUAUGUGUUUUUAUUAUAUGAAAAUCCAGUGUCAAUGAAGAACCUAAUCAAAUUUUUUGGCCAACAGUCUGUAGUUUUUACCAGUGUUUGCUGCCACAGAAAUAUGCCAACUUGGCCAUAAAAGAGGAGUCCUCUGAAAUGACACUUGAGCACAUAUCUGGCUCUGCUGCAGCCCUUCUUUGAUGGAGCAAAGCAUCACCAGGUAGGACUCACAGCCUGCCUCUUUCCCUGUUUGGACAUAACAGUGAUGGACCAGAUUUUACAGGGAGUGGGGACUUGACCUUCAGCUUGUGCCAAAGGCGCAAGAGAAGAAUGCCUUUCAGCAACAUGGUAAGUCUGUCUUUUUCUCAUAAGUAUUUUAAAGAAAUCCACAUGAGUUAAAUUUAGAGGUGUACUAAGCUGGGGAUAAAAGAUGGGACAAUGCUGUUGAGUUAUAC